rnacentral:rRNA from 1 species
UUUCGGUUGAUCCCGCCGGACCCCACUGCUAUCGGGAUGGGACUAAGACAUGCUAGUCGAGCGCCUUCUAGCCACGACGAAGGCGCGGCGCACAGCUCAGUAACACGUGGCUAACCUGCCCUUGGGAUAGGAACACCCCCGGGAAACUGGGGCUAAUUCCCAAUAGGCGAAGAACUCUGGAAUGAGUCUUCACCAGAAAGGACGUUUGCGUCAUGCUCGCAGGCGUCGCCUAAGGAUGGGGCCGCGACCGAUCAGGUUGUUGGUGAGGUAAUGGCCCACCAAGCCUAUAACCGGUGCGGGCCGUGAGAGCGGGAGCCCGGAGAUGGGCACUGAGACAAGGGCCCAGGUCCUACGGGGCGCAGCAGUCGCGAAAACUUUGCAAUACACGAAAGUGUGACAGGGUCAUCCCGAGUGCCGACCGCUGAGGUUGGCUUUUACCCAGUCUAGAAAGCUGGGGGAAUAAGGAGAGGGCAAGUCUGGUGUCAGCCGCCGCGGUAAUACCAGCUCUCCGAGUGGUGUGGACGUUUAUUGGGCCUAAAGCAUCCGUAGCUGGCUGAA